GAUGAACGCUGGCGGCGUGCCUAAUACAUGCAAGUCGAGCGAACGGACGAGAAGCUUGUUUCUCUGAUGUUAGCGGCGGACGGGUGAGUAACACGUGGAUAACCUACCUAUAAGACUGGGAUAACUUCGGGAAACCGGAGCUAAUACCGGAUGACAUUUUGAACCGCAUGGUUCAAAAGUGAAAGACGGUCUUGCUGUCACUUACAGAUGGAUCCGCGCUGCAUUAGCUAGUUGGUAAGGUAACGGCUUACCAAGGCAACGAUGCAUAGCCGACCUGAGAGGGUGAUCGGCCACACUGGAACUGAGACACGGUCCAGACUCCUACGGGAGGCAGCAGUAGGGAAUCUUCCGCAAUGGGCGAAAGCCUGACGGAGCAACGCCGCGUGAGUGAUGAAGGUCUUCGGAUCGUAAAACUCUGUUAUUAGGGAAGAACAUAUGUGUAAGUAACUGUGCACAUCUUGACGGUACCUAAUCAGAAAGCCACGGCUAACUACGUG
rnacentral:rRNA from 1 species